AUUGAACACUGGCGGCAGGCUUAACACAUGCAAGUCGAGCGGGGUGAUGGUGCUUGCACUAUCACUUAGCGGCGGACGGGUGAGUAAUGCUUAGGAAUCUGCCUAUUAGUGGGGGACAACAUCUCGAAAGGGAUGCUAAUACCGCAUACGUCCUACGGGAGAAAGCAGGGGAUCACUUGUGACCUUGCGCUAAUAGAUGAGCCUAAGUCGGAUUAGCUAGUUGGUGGGGUAAAGGCCUACCAAGGCGACGAUCUGUAGCGGGUCUGAGAGGAUGAUCCGCCACACUGGGACUGAGACACGGCCCAGACUCCUACGGGAGGCAGCAGUGGGGAAUAUUGGACAAUGGGGGGAUCCCUGAUCCAGCCAUGCCGCGUGUGUGAAGAAGGCCUUAUGGUUGUAAAGCACUUUAAGCGAGGAGGAGGCUCUUUUGGUUAAUACCCAAGAUGAGUGGACGUUACUCGCAGAAUAAGCACCGGCUAACUCUGUGCCAGCCGCCGCGGUAA
rnacentral:rRNA from 1 species